CCUCGCCAGAGCAGGUGGGCGAGAAGAAGCCACAGAAGCGUCCGAAUUGCGAAGGAAGAAGCCACGUCGGCUCUUUCCUGAUGACGUCAUCUUACCUAAAGACAACCCAACGUCUCAACCAGAAACUGCCCUCACUGGUCACCGUCAGGUCACAGGAUCGCGGUCCACACACGAACUCCCGUCAGCGCUCCAAGGGAAAUCCACACAGCUCCACUUAGCAGAGCCCAGACCUCCAGCAGCCUGGAGUAAAGCAAAACUCAUGAUUUACAUGGAACCACAAAAGCCCAAAUAUUAAAACCACCGUGAGACUAAAGCCCCAAGCCGAGGUGUCUCACAGUCUGAUUCAAGACACACGACACAGCUGCGGUGUCCACACAGCAUGGCAACAAAUACGAACACACGGGGACACUGGGACAGCAGAGAGAACCCAGACGGACGGUCACUGUUACAGUCUACUGAUUUCUACAAGGGCAUCGAGAACUCACACUGGGGAAGGAGAGGACCUGCGGUGUGCUUUGAAAACUGUUUCCAUCUGCAGAAGACGGAAUGACAGCCCUGUCUCACCGUGUGUGCAAAAGUCAUGGGAUUUUUAUUGUUGGCCACCAAGGAUGAAUACAUGUUUGAGGACUUAGAUACGCUCCCUCUGGUCCGCAUACAGACGUGGGUCAAAACAUGACACGUAUAAGUAAUAUUGUGUCACUUAAAUAUCUUUAGGUCUUACCACAAUCAUUUUAAAUUAUGUGAAAGGGAACUACGUGAAACCUGAGAUAAUGAAACUCCUUUUAGAAAACAGAGGGGAACCCCGUGAGGACGUCUGGGCAGUGAUUGGUUGGCUGUAGCCACAGGAGCACAGACAACAGAAGCAAAAUCCCACGGGUGGAGGAGGUCAAUGCAGGGCAGCUGCUGGCGAUGCUGGCAUCCCAGUCAGAGUGCUGGCUUCCGGCCUGGCUGCCUCGCUUCAGACCCAGCGUCCCGCUGAUGGGCCUG